rnacentral:rRNA from 1 species
UACGUAGGGUGCGAGCGUUAAUCGGAAUUACUGGGCGUAAAGCGUGCGCAGGCGGUUCGUUGUGUCUGAUGUGAAAGCCCCGGGCUCAACCUGGGAAUGGCGAUGGAUACUGGCGGGCUAGAGUGCGGUAGAGGAGAGUGGAAUUCCCGGUGUAGCAGUGAAAUGCGUAGAGAUCGGGAGGAACAUCAGUUGCGAAGGCGGCUCUCUGGACCAGCACUGACACUGAGGCACGAAAGCGUGGGGAGCAAACAGG